rnacentral:rRNA from 1 species
CUUGAUUAGUGGCGCACGGGUGAGUAAUGCAUAGAUAAUGUGCCCCUUAGUUCGGGAUAGCCACUGGAAACGGUGAUUAAUACCGGAUACUCCUUCUUGUUAUAAGACAAGUCGGGAAAGUUUUUCGCUAAAGGAUCAGUCUAUGUUCCAUCAGCUUGUUGGUGAGGUAAUGGCUCACCAAGGCUAUGACGGAUAUCUGGUUUGAGAGGAUGAUCAGACACACUGGAACUGAGACACGGUCCAGACUCCUACGGGAGGCAGCAGUGAGGAAUAUUGCACAAUGGAGGAAACUCUGAUGCAGCAACGCCGCGUGGAGGAUGACGCAUUUCGGUGUGUAAACUCCUUUUAUUAGGGAAGAUAAUGACGGUACCUAAUGAAUAAGCACCGGCUAACUCCGUGCCAGCAGCCGCGGUAAUACGGAGGGUGCAAGCGUUACUCGGAAUCACUGGGCGUAAAGGGUGCGUAGGCUGGCUUUUAAGUCAGAUGUGAAAUCCAAUGGCUCAACCAUUGAACUGCAUUUGAAACUGAAAGCCUAGAGUUCAGAAGGGGCAGAUGGAAUUAGUGGUGUAGGGGUAAAAUCCGUAGAUAUCACUAGGAAUAUCAAAAGCGAAGGCGAUCUGCUGGGAUGAUACUGACG